UAAAAGUUUUAUUCUUGCUUAAACACUUAUUGUAAUUUGGUAUUAUAUGUGAAUUUUUGUAUUUGAGGUUUAUCUUGAUGAGAAAUUUAAUUUUUGUAGCAGUAAUGAAUAUUAAAUAAUAAAGGGGAUUUUGAUUUGGCUAAUUUUAUUAAUAUUGAUUAAAUAUGUGCCAGCAAUCGCGGUUAUACAUAGAAUAUAAAUAAGUGUUUUCAGUUAUAUAGUUUAUUUGUUUUAAUUUAUUUUAAAUUGAUCAUUUUUAGGUAAAAUUUGAAUUUUCGUUUUUGUUUUGGGUAUAAUAAAUGAGGCUAUGAAAUCUAAAUUAUUUAGACUAGGAUUAGAUACCCUAUUAUUUUAGAUUUAAAAAUUUAAUUUGAGUAGUAUUAGUUAUGGUCUUGAAACUUAAAGAAUUUGGCGGUAUUUUAGUCUGGUUAGAGGAAUCUGUUCCAUUAUCGAUAAUCCACGUUGGACCUUACUCAAUAUUAUUUAAUAUGUAUACCGCCGUUUAUUUGAAAAUCUUUUUAGAGUUAAUUUUCUUUUAGUUAAAAUUGAUUUUAUUUCAGGUCAAGGUGCAGUUGAUGAUUGAGUGGAAAUGGAUUACAAUAUUUAUAAAAUAUACGGAUUAUAAUUUGAAACUGUUUUAUGAAGGGGGAUUUAAUAGUAAUUAAUAAUUAGAAUUAUUAUUUUGAUUUUAGCUCUAAGAUGUGCACACAUCGCCCGUCACUCUCGUUAUUAAGAUGAGAUAAGUCGUAACAAAGUAGGUGUACCGGAAGGUGUAGCUAGAUUGAU
rnacentral:ncRNA from 1 species